rnacentral:rRNA from 1 species
CGGAUGGAUCAUUAACGUUAGAUGCAUUCGAGAGGAGUAUGCCAAACGGCAAUAGCUUAAUUUGCGGUGCGUAAGCAUAUUUUCACGUGAUUGAUACGGUUGAGCAGAAUGUCUCCGUAGAGGAUUGAUGCGGGUAUGCCAUUCGCUGCUAUUGACCGAUACUCCCUUGGUGCAUCGGAUACUAUCUCUCUACCCAUGUGGUGUGAAUAGGAAAGUUUGUUGACGGUGGUUAGUAUUGUUGUUGUUAUUAUUAAGAGUGUGUGGUGUAUAAUGAUGAUGUGUACGAGUGUAUCUGUCAUGGAUAGACGAGUGUAUGUGAUUAUGUCGCCAUCGCUGUUAAUAACGACAAUAGUCGCCAGCGACAAUUAUAUUAAACACAGUAGUUUAUUAUUAUUUCUAAAGUGUAAUACCUUGUGAAUUGUAGGAAAAAGUGUAUGCUUUGACUGCACAUUACCAAGUAAAACAACUUUUAAUCUAAUACAACUGCUAGCAACGGAUCACUCGGCUCUCGCGUCGAUGAAGAACGUAGCGAACUGCGAAAAUUAAUGCGACACGCAACACGUGAGUCAUCGGAGAAAAAAAGUCUUUGAACGCAUAUUGCACCCGACAGGUUUACUUGUCGGGUCUGCCUGUCUGAGUAUCAAUACGGACCCAACCGAUAAAUAAUAUUUGUUGAGUUGGUGCUCAUUAGCAAUAUACUUGUGUAUUGUUAGUGGAUUUGAACAUUCAAUUACCAUUUGUUAGUUGAUUGUUUGAAAUGUAUUGGUAUUUUAGUCAAUCAGUUGAUAAUUGCCAACCGCUAUUCAGCAUUGUUAAUCAUCUUUUAUUAGGUGUUCAUUGCUCAACAAGUUGUUGGAAUCACGAUUAUUGACCAUUGUGUUUACACAGUGUAGUAUUGAUCAGACCAAAAAGCACACUUUCUACUGACUAAACAUUAGUAGACAAGAGUACACUUUUUAACCAUCUUGAUCUCAGAUCAGGCAGGAUGACCCGCUGAACUUAAGCAU